UAAGGAGGAGCUGUAAAGCGACUUAAUUUCGACUUAAGUUUUGAGAUUAAUUGG
rnacentral:tRNA from 1 species